UUUUAGUUUGAUCAUGGCUCAGGAUGAACGCUGGCGGCGUGCCUAAUACAUGCAAGUCGAGCGAAUGGAUUAAGAGCUUGCUCUUAUGAAGUUAGCGGCGGACGGGUGAGUAACACGUGGGUAACCUGCCCAUAAGACUGGGAUAACUCCGGGAAACCGGGGCUAAUACCGGAUAACAUUUUGAACCGCAUGGUUCGAAAUUGAAAGGCGGCUUCGGCUGUCACUUAUGGAUGGACCCGCGUCGCAUUAGCUAGUUGGUGAGGUAACGGCUCACCAAGGCAACGAUGCGUAGCCGACCUGAGAGGGUGAUCGGCCACACUGGGACUGAGACACGGCCCAGACUCCUACGGGAGGCAGCAGUAGGGAAUCUUCCGCAAUGGACGAAAGUCUGACGGAGCAACGCCGCGUGAGUGAUGAAGGCUUUCGGGUCGUAAAACUCUGUUGUUAGGGAAGAACAAGUGCUAGUUGAAUAAGCUGGCACCUUGACGGUACCUAACCAGAAAGCCACGGCUAACUACGUGCCAGCAGCCGCGGUAAUACGUAGGUGGCAAGCGUUAUCCGGAAUUAUUGGGCGUAAAGCGCGCGCAGGUGGUUUCUUAAGUCUGAUGUGAAAGCCCACGGCUCAACCGUGGAGGGUCAUUGGAAACUGGGAGACUUGAGUGCAGAAGAGGAAUAGUGGAAUUUCCAUGUGUAGCGGUGAAAUGCGUAGAGAUAUGGAGGAACACCAGUGGCGAAGGCGACUUUCUGGUCUGUAACUGACACUGAGGCGCGAAAGCGUGGGGAGCAAACAGGAUUAGAUACCCUUGGUAGUCCAAAA
rnacentral:rRNA from 1 species